GACAAGUCUUCAUGACAACUCCACCAUGACAACUCCUUCAUGACACAACUUCCAUGACAAACUCCACCAUGACACACUUUCAUGGACAACUCUCCCAUGACAACUCCUCCAUGACAACUCUCCUAUAACAACUCCUUCCAUGACAACUCCCCCAUGACCACUACCAUGACCCUCUUCCUGACAACCUCUCCCAUGACAACUCCUUCAUGACACUCUUCCAUGACAACUACCCCAUGACAACUCCUUCAAUGACAACUCCACCAUGACCAACUCCUUCAUGACAACUCCCUCCAUGACAACUCUUCAUGACAAGUCUUCAUGACAACUCCACCAUGACAACUCAUCAUGACAACCUCCCCAUGAACACUCCCUGACAACUCAUGACAACUCCUUCAUGACCACUCUCCAUGACAACUCCUUCAUGACAACUCCUUCAUAACAACUCCUCCAUUGACAACUCUUCAUGACAAGUCUUCAUGUAAACCCCCAAUGACACUCCUUCAUUAACAAAACUCCUCCAUGAAACUCUUCAUGGCCAACUCCACCAUGACAACUCCUUCAUAACCAACUCCUCCAUAACCAAGUUCUUCAUGACUCACUCUCCAUGACACCUCCUCAUGACAAGUCUUAUUACAAGUCUUCAUGGAAUCCUCUAUUACAACUCUCCCAUGCAACUCUUCAUGACAACUCCUCCAUGACAACUCCUCCAUUGACAGUUCAUAACAAGUCUUCUGAGAAACUCCUCUAUACACUCUUCCAGCAACUCUUCAUGACAACUCUCCCAUGACAACUCCUCCAUGACCAACUCAUCCCAUGACAACUCCCCAUGAAAAUCCCCCCAUGACAACUCCUUCAUGACAACUCCUUAUAAACACUCCUCCAUGACAACUCUUCUGACACGUUUCAUGACAACUCUCCAUGUCAACUCCUCUUUACAACUCUCCCAUGCAACUCUCAUGGACAAUCCUCCAUGACAAACUCCUCCAUGCAAGGUCUUCAUAACAAGUCUUCAUGAGAACUCCUCUAUUACAACUCUCCCAUG
rnacentral:lncRNA from 1 species